rnacentral:rRNA from 1 species
AACGCGAAGAACCUUACCUGGUCUUGACAUCCACGGAAUUUGGCAGAGAUGCCUUAGUGCCUUCGGGAACCGUGAGACAGGUGCUGCAUGGCUGUCGUCAGCUCGUGUUGUGAAAUGUUGGGUUAAGUCCCGCAACGAGCGCAACCCUUAUCCUUUGUUGCCAGCGGUUAGGCCGGGAACUCAAAGGAGACUGCCAGUGAUAAACUGGAGGAAGGUGGGGAUGACGUCAAGUCAUCAUGGCCCUUACGACCAGGGCUACACACGUGCUACAAUGGCAUAUACAAAGAGAAGCGACCUCGCGAGAGCAAGCGGACCUCAUAAAGUAUGUCGUAGUCCGGAUUGGAGUCUGCGAACUCGACUCCAUGAAGUCGGAAUCGCUAGUAAUCGUGGAUCAGAAUG